rnacentral:rRNA from 1 species
UUACCAUGCAAGUCGAGCGGGGAAAGGUAGCUUGCUACUUUACCUAGCGGCGGACGGGUGAGUAAUGCUUAGGAAUCUGCCUAUUAGUGGGGGACAACAUCUCGAAAGGGAUGCUAAUACCGCAUACGUCCUACGGGAGAAAGCAGGGGACCUUCGGGCCUUGCGCUAAUAGAUGAGCCUAAGUCGGAUUAGCUAGUUGGUGGGGUAAAGGCCUACCAAGGCGACGAUCUGUAGCGGGUCUGAGAGGAUGAUCCGCCACACUGGGACUGAGACACGGCCCAGACUCCUACGGGAGGCAGCAGUGGGGAAUAUUGGACAAUGGGGGGAACCCUGAUCCAGCCAUGCCGCGUGUGUGAAGAAGGCCUUUUGGUUGUAAAGCACUUUAAGCGAGGAGGAGGCUACCGAGAUUAAUACUCUUGGAUAGUGGACGUUACUCGCAGAAUAAGCACCGGCUAACUCUGUGCCAGCAGCCGCGGUAAUACAGAGGGUGCAAGCGUUAAUCGGAUUUACUGGGCGUAAAGCGCGCGUAGGUGGCCAAUUAAGUCAAAUGUGAAAUCCCCGAGCUUAACUUGGGAAUUGCAUUCGAUACUGGUUGGCUAGAGUAUGGGAGAGGAUGGUAGAAUUCCAGGUGUAGCGGUGAAAUGCGUAGAGAUCUGGAGGAAUACCGAUGGCGAAGGCAGCCAUCUGGCCUAAUACUGACACUGAGGUGCGAAAGCAUGGGGAGCAAACAGGAUUAGAUACCCUGGUAGUCCAUGCCGUAAACGAUGUCUACUAGCCGUUGGGGCCUUUGAGGCUUUAGUGGCGCAGCUAACGCGAUAAGUAGACCGCCUGGGGAGUACGGUCGCAAGACUAAAACUCAAAUGAAUUGACGGGGGCCCGCACA